GGAAGGUGCUGCCGAAUGGAUGGCAAGCAGUUUUGAAAACUGUAGUACGGCAGCGAUGUCGUAGGAGUUCGAUUCUUCCACCUUCCU
rnacentral:tRNA from 1 species